GGGGGACUGUAGUCACCCCAAUUACGUGCGGUGGCGACAUCGACAGUCUGCGGGAAUCUCUCCACCAGCUGGGGACAACCCGCAGCCGGACCUCUUGCGUCCGGCCCACAGACUAAAUGUUGAUGGGUCCGCGCCCCCAUGCGGAUUUUCGAUAUAGUCGGUCGUCGGGGCAUACACCCCCCUCGAGCAAACGUUCCGUAGGUGAACCUGCGGAAGGAUCAUUA
rnacentral:rRNA from 1 species